AAACUGUUUGAACAUGACAUCAUAGUCGAAACUUGUGGUCCUUUGUGAAUGAGCUGCCCAACAUUCUGCCUUGGUAAACCUCCCUGGACACAGAGUAAGUGUUCAUUUAGUGAUGGCUCACACCUGUAAUCCCAGCACUUUGUGGGGCUAAGGUGGGUGCAUCACCUGACAUCAGGAGUUCGAGACCAGCCUGGCCAACAUGGUGAAACCCAUCUCUACUAAAAAUACAAAAAAAAUUAGCUGGGCGUGGUGGUGGGCACCUGUAAUCCCAGCUACUUGGGAGGCUGAAGUAGGAGAAUCACUUGAACCUGAGAGGCAGAGGUUGCAGUGAGCCAAGAUCAAGCCAUUGCACUCCAGCCUGGGCAACAAGAGUGAAACUCCAUCUAAGAAAAAAAAAAAAAAAAAAGAAGAAGAAGAAGAAAAAAGAAAAAACAAUAAUUUUAAACAUCAUCAUAAUGUCUCCAGUGAAGCUGAAACCACCACACGUACUGCAGAUGGAGUUUUGUCACUGCACACUGUACAAUGAUGGGGAGCCCUGGGGCACCUCCAGACAGCAUGAAGGACAGUGCUGGGACUGUCUUUUUCUAUAUCAGACACGUGGGAUCCUGCUGUGCCUUCCUGGAAACCAAGGCCAAGAAUGGAGCAGACCAAGAGGAUGCCAGGAAAAAUCGCAAAGAAGCCCAGAAAGCACAGCUGGAAGCCAAGAACCCUAUUUUUGGUUUGUGUGGGUGGAAGAUGAGGGACAAUAUAUAGUGAACAAUAGGAUUCUUCAUUUGAAAGACAGUGGAGCACAUCAGACCUGUGUAUUUGAGUGAAGUAUGAUAAACUGAACAUCAAAGACUAUGGAAAGGAACAUGACUUAGUUUAUUCCAUUACCAGUGAUCUGCUUGUUUGUUCAUUUGCUUACCCACUUAUUCAUUUAUUCAUUCAUUCCUCCAUCCAUUCUCUUUCACUUAUUCCACAAUCAUGAUUGUAUGCCUACCAUAUCGCUAGAGAGAAGGUAGGAAAAGAUCCAAGGAUGUGAAUACAAUCUUCCUGCUUCAUGGUGAGAGCUAAAGGAAUCUGUAAAGAGCCUGUCUUUUUCAUUUUUCUCUCUCCUACAUAGACCCUGGCAAAUGUUUUAUUUCUUACAAUUUGCCUGAGAUUUACUCAUCCACUACCAGAGCUCUGAAAACACUCUUCAGAACACUAUUUUAAAAUAAUGAUAAUGACAAUAAUAGAUAACAUAUAUUGAGUGUUUUUUGUACAUAAAGCAAUGUAAUAACCAUUUAAAAUGAUUGUAACUAUACUUUAUAAGAGUAUGACGAGACAGGCACUGUUAAUAUGCUCAUUUUUCACACAGCUAAUAUGAGAGAGAGCUGGGAUUUGGAUGCAGGAAGUCUAGCUCCAGCGCCUCCAUUCAUGGCCAUUACAUGAUCUGUCUAAUGAAUGAAAUGUUUGGCCUUAGAGAAAAUUUGAAAUGUGUAGUUUUCUUUGCUGACUUAAAUGAUAUAAGUUUAAAAAUUCGAUAGUGGUUGCCAGUUGAAAAUUCCUGCUCCUUGGGAAACUGUUGAAAGUCUGCUUAGUACUCAUCCCCAUCAUUAAUGGCCAUUUGCAAAGCCAGGCCAAGUUUAGUCUUCUACCAGCACUGAAGAAACACAUUUUACCCAGAAGAAAUGAGGGUGAAAUCCUCUGAUAACUGGAAGAUUCUGGAUGUUCUGGAAAGAAAAGUAAUUUUUUUCAAUCUCUGGAAAUUGCUUUUUUUGUUUUAAGUAGGGGUGGCUCAGCAGAUGCCAACAGGGAAUCUGGGAUCAGCUAAUCUGGAGAAGAUUCUGA
rnacentral:lncRNA from 1 species